CCCAGACUCCUACGGGAGGCAGCAGUGGGGAAUAUUGCACAAUGGGGGAAACCCUGAUGCAGCGACGCCGCGUGAGCGAUGAAGUAUUUCGGUAUGUAAAGCUCUCUCAGCAGGGAAGAAAAUGACGGUACCUGACUAAGAAGCCCCGGCUAACUACGUGCCAGCAGCCGCGGUAAUACGUAGGGGGCAAGCGUUAUCCGGAUUUACUGGGUGUAAAGGGAGCGUAGAUGGCGGUGCAAGCCAGAUGUGAAAGCCCGGGGCUCAACCCCGGGACUGCUUUGGAAACUGUAUGGCUGGAGUGCUGGAGAGGCAAGCGGAAUUCCUAGUGUAGCGGUGAAAUGCGUAGAUAUUAGGAAGAACACCAGUGGCGAAGGCGGCUUGCUGGACAGUAACUGACGUUGAGGCUCGAAAGCGUGGGGAGCAAACAGGAUUAGAUACCCCGGUA
rnacentral:rRNA from 1 species